GGACAGGUGGGUGAGCGGUUGAAACCACGUCCCUGCUAAGGACGCAUAUCUAGUAAUAGGUAUCGAGGGUUCGAAUCCCUCCCUGUCCGCCA
rnacentral:tRNA from 1 species